rnacentral:tRNA from 1 species
GGGGAUAUAGCUCAGUGGUAGAGUGCGUGCUUAGCAUGCACGAGGUCCUGGGUUCAAUCCCUAGUACCUCA